rnacentral:rRNA from 1 species
AUGUACGGGUACUGCGAUGAGACAUCGGUGCCCGUCCCGACAUGCAAGUACCUCCACGGCUUCGAGCCGGCAAACACAGUGGAGUGGACAGGUGGCAAGUUUUCAGCAGGGUGCCAACGAACGGAGCCACUACGAGGGUGCAAUAAUGGCUUCUUGGCCUUGACAGGGAUGAAGUCGCCUGACAAGUAUUCGCUUAUCGGCGGCGGUAGGAGUACAUUUGAGGAGUGUGCAACAGAAUGCAACCGCAACUGCUCUUGUGUUGCAUACUCACAUGCCAACUUAAGCAGCAGCGGGUCCAAGAGAAACAUGACGAGGUGCUUGGUCUGGUUCGGGGAGUUGGUUGACACGGGGAAAAUAGGUGAAGAGUUGGGAAGUGACACGCUCUAUCUCCGACUUGCAGGAUUGAAUGCAACAUCUGGUAAAAGAAGAAAGAGUAAUGCAGUGAAGAUUGUGCUAGCACUGUUAGGAAGUAGUGUUAUAGUACUCAUAUGCAUUUGGUUGGCAUGGUUCAAAUUCAAAGUACACCCUGAACACAAUCAUGAAUUCCCAUUUGUAACGUUUGAGGAAAUUGCACGAGCAACACACAAUUUCUCUGAAACAUGUGUGAUAGGACAAGGUGGCUUUGGCAAAGUUUUCAAGGGAUUGUUAGGUGGUCAAGAAGUUGCCGUCAAGAGGCUGAGUAGGGAUUCUAAACAGGGAACAAAGGAGUUCAAGAAUGAAGUAAUUCUAAUUGCCAAAUUGCAGCAUAGAAACUUGGUUCAACUGCUCGGGUGUUGUUCGGAGGGAGAUGAAAAACUUCUAAUUUAUGAGUAUCUAGCUAACAAGAGCUUAGAUGCCACCCUUUUUGAUGAUUCAAGAAAAAUGUUGCUCGACUGGGAAACACGGUUUAGUAUAAUCAAAGGAGUUGCAAGGGGACUUCUUUACCUACACCAAGAUUCAAGAUUAACCAUAAUUCACAGAGAUCUUAAAGUUGGAAAUGUUUUGCUAGAUGCAGAGAUGAAACCCAAGAUAGCGGAUUUUGGGAUGGCAAGGAUCUUUGGAGAUAACCAACAAAAUGCAAAUACCCAACGUGUUUCAUGGAAUAUGUGGAAGGAAGGGGAGACAGAGAAACUGCCAGACUCGUCGAUCAUGAACACAUGUUCACUAGACGAAGUAUUGCUUUGCAUCCAUGUAGCGCUACUGUGUGUCCAAGACAACCCAGAUGAUAGGCCCCUCAUGUCAUCAGUUGUCUUCGUCUUAGAGAACGGAAGCACCACACUUCCAGCCCCGGAUCGCCCUGCAUACUUUGUGCGACGGAGCGUUGAAGCGGUGCCAAUCGGAGAUGAGAUUCAGACUUCCGUGAACAGUGUUACUCUUACCGAGAUAGAGGGGAGAUGA